AAGAUGUACAGGUUUGUAGGCUAAUUGGCUUUGUAAAAUUGUAAAUUGUUCGUAGUGCGUGUAAGAUAAUGCUAAUGUGCAGAGAUUGCUGGCUAGCGAGGAUUCGGUGGGCCAAAAUGCCUGUUUCCCCGCUGUACCUCUAAACUAAACUAAGCACUUUUUUUUAAUGAAGUUAAAAAAAACAUUUUGAUGAUGCUCUCGAACACAGGAACUCUGGACAGUAUUUGGCAGUCUGAAGAAGGGUCUCGACCCGAAACGUCACCCGUUCCUUCUCUCCAGAGAUGCUGCCUGUCCCGCUGAGUUACUCCAGCUUUCUGUGUCUAUAUUCGGUUUAAACCAGCAUCUGCAGUUCCUUCCCACACAUUUGACGUUGAAUGCGAGCCUCAUGCCUUUGGUAUCUCAACGUUGAACAAUAAAGUAAUUUAGAGAUACAGCACGGAAACAGGCCCUUCGG